CAGACCUGGGUCCGCUGCUUCCCGGCCUCCGCGGCACGGCUGGCGCCUCCGCCCUGCACAGCGCUCGGAGCGGCUGGAUCCCGCACGCUCGCUCCGAGACCCAGGAGCUGGACCGAAGAAUUCAUUGCGAGUAUAGGGACCAGGGACUGGGCACACAGAGACUGAUAAAAAACCGGACUGAUCGCCAGAAAUCCCUGCCCUCAAGUGGUGUACACGUGCGUCUCACGUGACCCUGAAGUUACUUCUUUCGAGAUGGGCUCCCACGGAGCGAUGAAAAGGAGCAGGAAUCCGAUCUUUACAGGGAUUAAAAUAUAGUGAGGUUCUGCAAGAUGCUUUGGUUGGAAAAGGGAUUGGCUGCUUUUUAAAAAAAAGUGUACAAACAUCUUUCCUGGGCUAAUGAUCACCUAAGUGUGUCCCUUGAACUGAUAAAGGUAUUGCUCCUGGCCACGGAGCUGCAUGGGAGAGGGGCUUGGAAGAGGGAGCAUCCCAGGCCCAAGGGAAAAGAGAAUGCAAGUAGAGAAGACUUGCCACCUGAGAAGGAGGAAGAUCUACUUCCUUACACCCUCCAGUUCCCUCCUAACUAACUUCCAGCCCCUUACACUGUCUGCCCACAAUCCCAUCAGUCUUGGGCAUUAUAAACCACUGUAUUUUUUAAAUUAAAAAUUUUUUCACUUCA